AUGCCAGAGGCUCUAUUUCCUAGCAUUUUACAGCUCCUAUAACUGUAGAAUGGUUGUAGGUCACAGGUAUAACCAAUGAAAACACAACCUAAGAUACAAAUCAGGAGCUACUGAUGCAAAGAAUGGGGACCAGGAGGAAGAGUUUCUUCGAGACCUGGUGGUUGAAGAGCAGUGGAUCAUUCUUGGCUGUGGUGGGAGAGGUGCUGAACGUUGUUCACGCUGGCUAUGUCAUGAGUGGAAUCUAUGGCGUCAAGGCUAGAGAAGGAUGGAUAGAGAAAAGCAUCAUUACAAAAGUGAAAUGUGUGAAUUUUAUUCUGGCUUUGAACAUUGAGUAGACGAAGAAGACAAUUCCAGACGGAGGAAACUCCACAAGAAAUAUCAUGGAAAUUUGAAAGAACACAGUGGGCUUGGGAAGAGAGAUCUCAGUGGUGGAAGCACCAUCAUCCCAAGGAGACUUAGGACAUUAUUUGAAGAGAGUUUUCCCCUGAGGAAAGUGCUUCAGAGGAGAAAAUACACCAGAAAAAGACAAGGCCCUGCUCUGAGGAGUGAAGACACAAUCCAGCAGGCAGGAGGGAUGGCUAAGUUCAAAGUCUUGAGAAGUGCCCCUCAUGGACACCCCAGGGUGCCCAUCUCCAGGUUACCACCAGGUGCUUCCAAGACCAAGAUAACCAGGCAAUCAUAGUAGAUGCAUCAAUGCACCCUUGCCCAAGGGCCUAGACAAGAGGAGGAAGGAAAGGAGGAGCACGUGCACAAAGCUAAGGAGGUGAUUAACAACAUGAUACAGUAUUGUUUAGCUUCGCAUGAAUUUUAUCACCUUGCCUAGAACCAGCCACCAUCUGCCAGGGCUCCUGACUUUUUCUGAAAUGAAUAGACACUAAAGCCUGCUGGGGAAUUUCAUGGAAAUCAAGAUGACUCAACCCAGAGUCCAUUUCAAGGCUAGGAUGCUAGAGGACGCCAACAAAGGAGUAGGGAAGUGAAACGGAUCAGCUCACAUCCAAGCCCUUGCAUGAUCAAUCCUGCAGUAGGAGUGCUGCUCAGUUGGGACUCAUGAGAGCCCGGAAGAGGAAAAAGCAGCUCUAAGCAUAGCAAAGAAGCUGUUAUGGAAAAGACCCAAAUGUUAAAAUGGUGGACAUAGUAAAGUGAUUGGUUCUGCUUAGGGGAAUCUAGAUCCCCACAUUUUGACCUCCACUGGAGUCUCAGAAGAACAAGUGCCAGGGGGGCUUGCCACAGAGGCCAAGGCAGUGAAUGUCAGGCACAUCACAGUCCCCAAGAUGGGGAGAAGACUGAGAUGCAGGGUAACAACUGCAAUCCAUUCAUGGGAGCCAUGUUUAUCUUAAAUCAUUGACAGUGAGAUAAGGAUCAUGUCAGCCUUCAUACCUUUGAUGAUGAUCCCAGGCUGCAACAGUGACACAUAGAACUGGAUUCAGUAACUAACUACAGAUUCCAUCAACCAGGACUAGUAAAGUGAAAGGCAGAAAUUGGGAGGAGGGGUUUCUUUCUUGCUUAUAAAACUUUAUUUGGUUGUGUUGAGUAUGUGCAUGUAUGUAUGAAAUCCCAUAAAGCAGUCUUCUUAGGAACAAGCCAACAUGCCACAAUGUAGGAGAUCUUUGGAGCACUGGCCUAAAUGGCAGAGAGCUCAAGGGACUCUGCUUUGUACAAGGCAUGAUUUGUACCACCACCACUAUCCCUGUUUCAGAGCACUGUUGAAUUGUUCCAAACCUGGAUUUCUAUGUCAGCUCCCUGUCUAUAGUACUUGACUGAUAAAUGCUAGUUUCUGAAAUCUGCUUUGGUUCUAUAAUUUAUUAGACAGCUUUUUCUUCCCAUUUUAUUACUUGUUUUUACUGUCAUUGGUAUAUUAUCUCUUACAGUGAAAACAUUCAUAGGCUGAUUGAAGAGAAGAUCUGAAAUUAUUAGGCAGCAAGCAUACAAAACCCUUGCUUUAUAAAGAUAAUAUCUUAAAGGCCUAAUGUCUAUGGUUCAAAGCAGCCUGGAGAUGUUGGCUAAAUCUUCCAUCAUAGAGUCCUCAUGGGAUCUGGAAGCUCUGAUUUAUCUUCCUUCAGGCCCUAUAAGUUAGCUUUCCACAUCUGUAGGUUCCACA
rnacentral:lncRNA from 1 species